UAGUCCACGCCCUAAACGAUGUACACUAGUUGUUGUGAGGCUAGACCUUGCAGUAAUGCAGUAAACACAUUAAGUGUACCGCCUGGGGAGUACGGUCGCAAGAUUAAAACUCAAAGGAAUAGACGGGGACCCGCACAAGCGGUGGAGCAUGUGGUUUAAUUCGACGAUACGCGAAGAACCUUACCUGGACUUGACAUAGUAAGAACUUAUAAGAGAUUAUGAGGUGUCUGCUUGCAGAAGCUUAUAUACAGGUGCUGCACGGCUGUCGUCAGCUCGUGUCGUGAGAUGUUGGGUUAAGUCCCGCAACGAGCGCAACCCUCGUCGUUAGUUGCUAACAGUUCGGCUGAGAACUCUAACGAGACUGCCUGGGUAACCAGGAGGAAGGUGAGGACGACGUCAAGUCAUCAUGGCCCUUACGUCCAGGGCUACACACGUGCUACAAUGGGGUAUACAAAGAGCAGCGAUACGGUGACGUGGAGCAAAUCUCAAAAAUAUCUCCC
rnacentral:rRNA from 1 species